GACAGAGGGUGCAAACGUUGUUCGGAUUUACUGGGCGUAAAGCGCGUGUAGGCGGCUUUGCAAGUCGGAUGUGAAAGCCCACGGCUCAACCGUGGAAGUGCAUCCGAAACUGCAUGGCUUGAGUCUCGGAGAGGAAGGUGGAAUGCUUGGUGUAGAGGUGAAAUUCGUAGAUAUCAAGCAGAACACCAGUGGCGAAGGCGACUCUUUGGCCUGUAACUGACGCUGAGGCGCGAAAGCGUGGGGAGCAAACAGG
rnacentral:rRNA from 1 species